rnacentral:lncRNA from 1 species
GGGAGGCUGGAGGACGACAGAUUUCCAGCUUCUACGACGCUCUGCCUAAAUUAAAAAGCAACCAAUCGGAACGGCCGGAAGGGGGGCCUCGCGUCCUGAGCCAGUCAUUCCGAGCCUGCCAAUCACCCAGCGGGUAGCCAAUCAGCGGGGGCCCUGGUGCUCGACUUCCUUGUAUUUGGGAAAGUGUGGUGGUGGGUGCGCGCUCGCGGCGGAGGGUAAACAUUCGACAGUCCCCGCUCUGAGAGGGAGGGACAGAGAGCGAACUGUCAGAUCGGAGCGAGAGCGGGCGCCCGAGAGAGGGAGAGAGAGAGAGGGAGGGAGAGGAAAAGUGAGAGAGGGAAAGAGAGCGCGAACGAGGGCGCAGAGCGAGCUCCUGCUGCAACUCUGCUCCAGCACGGCCAGCGCCAGCGCCCGCCGUCGGUGCACUCUACGAGCCGUGCAGCGUGCCCACUGGAGUUGUUGUGUAUCAAGGAUCGAUCCCCUAUAUGCACACACACACCUCCACCUCCACCAAUGCACUCUUCUUCCUCCUCCUUCUCCAGACAACUGCUGGGAAAAAAAUAAAACACCAACCCCAACCGUCAGCAACAAGAGGCAACCAAGAGCUCCGGCAAUAGCAACUUCAGAGAAAUGCACCAUCGCAAGAAGUUUUCCUAGGACAGAACAAAACUUGAAACGAGAGGACCAGAGGGGGAGAGCAGGAGCCAGCCUCCCCUCUCCGCACUCGCGAGCAGCCAGCAGCACCACGCCUUCAAGGACGAAAAAGUUUUACUACUCUAAGGGAAAACGAGUGAAAUGUGUUCCUGAGGAGGAGAGGAGAGGAGAGGAGAGAGCGGACAAGAGAAGGAGCGGGCCGGUUGCUGGUCAUCCGUAAUUUGGCUAAGGAAGAAAGGAGCAGCUUCUUUCUUUGUUAUCUCCCGUGAAACCUUCACUUAGCAGGUGGACGGAGCCCCGCGACCGGGCAGAGUCCGGGCUCGCCCGAGGACAGGAGGAGGAGCGGGAGCCCGCGCGUCCCGGGAGAGCGCCCCGAGUGCAGGUCCCCGCCCCGCCCGGCGAGCCCCGCUGGAGCGAGCCCAGCGCGCCGGGGCUGGGGGGCGGCCACGACCCCCCCUGAAGGGGGUGGCCACGGAGCGCACCCCGAGAAGCGAGCCCCCCUCCCCAGAGCGCUGCUCCUGCGGCUGCUGCUGCUGCUGGUGACCAAGGCCGGCCGGCGACCCCCGCGCCCUGCCGAGCGGCCUUGCAGCUGCAGCCGG